rnacentral:lncRNA from 1 species
UAAUUUCUGUGUCAGUUUUGUCUCUUGUAGAGAGUUGUCUCAUUGGCAAUCAUACCAGAUCUAAUUUUUUUAUAUGUAAACAAUUGUUUUGAAAACAAAAUAUUUUAUUACUAAAUGCAAAAGCAUGUUUUUUUGUUUUUUUUAAUUGUCCGUGCAAAUUUAAUUUUUCCUAAGAAAGUUUGUCUUGUCAAAUGUGGUAGAAAUCAUUAUGUAACACUCUGUUUAAAGUCAGUACGUUGUUGCCGAUGUAAAAAGUGGUAUUAUUACCAAAUAAAGA